UACGUAGGGUGCGAGCGUUGUCCGGAAUUAUUGGGCGUAAAGAGCUCGUAGGCGGCCUGUCGCGUCGAUUGUGAAAGCCCGGGGCUUAACCCCGGGUCUGCAGUCGAUACGGGCAGGCUAGAGUUCGGUAGGGGAGAUCGGAAUUCCUGGUGUAGCGGUGAAAUGCGCAGAUAUCAGGAGGAACACCGGUGGCGAAGGCGGAUCUCUGGGCCGAUACUGACGCUGAGGAGCGAAAGCGUGGGGAGCGAACAGG
rnacentral:rRNA from 1 species